UGAGGAAUAUUGGACAAUGGGCGCAAGCCUGAUCCAGCCAUGCCGCGUGAGUGAUGAAGGCCUUCGGGUUGUAAAGCUCUUUCAGAUGCGAAGAUAAUGACGGUAACAUCAGAAGAAGCCCCGGCUAAAUUCGUGCCAGCAGCCGCGGUAAUACGAAUGGGGCAAGCGUUGUUCGGAAUCACUGGGCUUAAAGCGUGCGCAGGCGGUCAUGAAAGUCAGAAGUGAAAUCCCAGGGCUUAACCCUGGAAUUGCUUUUGAAACUCCAUGACUAGAAUACUGGAGAGGUUAGCAGAAUUCCGAGUGUAGAGGUGAAAUUCGCAGAUAUUCGGAGGAAUACCAAUGGCGAAGGCAGCUAACUGGACAGUAAUUGACGCUCAGGCACGAAAGCGUGGGUAGCAAACAGG
rnacentral:rRNA from 1 species